rnacentral:rRNA from 1 species
UACGUAGGGGGCUAGCGUUGUCCGGAAUCAUUGGGCGUAAAGAGCGUGUAGGCGGCCCGGUAAGUCCGCUGUGAAAGUCAAAGGCUCAACCUUUGAAUGUCAGCGGAUACUGCCGGGCUAGAGUCCGGAAGAGGCGAGUGGAACUCCCUGGUGUAGCGGUGGAAUGCGCAGAUAUCAGGAAGAACACCAACGGCGAAGGCAGCUCGCUGGGACGGUACUGACGCUGAGACGCGAAAGCGUGGGGAGCAAACAGG